UGUCAAGAUUAUAGGUAAAAUAUUAAAAUAUUCAUCAUAAACUAUGACUAGAAUUGUUUGGAAUGAAUGCCAUCAAUUCUACAAAACUUAGUGAAUCUGACAUCACCCAAGAAUCACCUUUUACAUCAGCUGACACUGGGAAUUCAAGGUCUGCUUUUCCAAGUUAUACAGGCACAGGGAUCUCUACAGAAGGCAGUUCGGACUUCUCCUGGGGAUAUGGUGUGAGUUGUAUGUUAUCAUCUGAUGGUGUUCUUGGGAGACUGUCUUGGGUUUAGGAUUUGUCUGUAUAUUUCAUUCCUUCAUUUUCCUACAUUGGUUCUAUACAUUUUAAAUUCACCACACUCUACUAUAGUUGUAAAGAAGCAUCAAUCCUCAUUUGCUAUUAUUUGCUUUGUUUUACAGAUACAGUAGCUGAGCCUUAAAAAUGCUUAGUGGUUGACUUAAACAGCUGCAGGUAGUAUAGAUUUGGGCUCUGUCCAUCUUUCUACUACUUGUUAAAUGAAAAAAAUCAGGUUAAAAGUAGUAUUCAUU